rnacentral:rRNA from 1 species
CGUGUAGGCGGCCUGAUAUGUCAGAUGUGAAAGCCCUGGGCUUAACCCAGGAAGUGCAUUUGAAACUGUCAGGCUCGAGUAGGGGAGAGGGAAGUGGAAUUCCUGGUGUAGAGGUGAAAUUCGUAGAUAUCGGGAGGAACACCGGUGGCGAAGGCGACUUCCUGGCCCUAUACUGACGCUGAGACGCGAGAGCGUGGGUAGCAAACA